UAGGGAAUCUUCGGCAAUGGGGGGAACCCUGACCGAGCAACGCCGCGUGAGUGAAGAAGGUUUUCGGAUCGUAAAGCUCUGUUGUUAAGGAAGAACGAGUGUGAGAAUGGAAAGUUCAUACUGUGACGGUACUUAACCAGAAAGGGACGGCUAACUACGUGCCAGCAGCCGCGGUAAUACGUAGGUCCCGAGCGUUGUCCGGAUUUAUUGGGCGUAAAGCGAGCGCAGGCGGUUAGAUAAGUCUGAAGUUAAAGGCAGUGGCUCAACCAUUGUAGGCUUUGGAAACUGUUUAACUUGAGUGCAGAAGGGGAGAGUGGAAUUCCAUGUGUAGCGGUGAAAUGCGUAGAUAUAUGGAGGAACACCGGUGGCGAAAGCGGCUCUCUGGUCUGUAACUAACGCUGAGGCUCGAAAGCGUGGGGAGCGAACAGG
rnacentral:rRNA from 1 species